GCCGAAGUGGUGGAAUUGGUAGACACGCUAGAUUUAGGAUCUAGUGCCGCAAGGCGUAGGAGUUCAAGUCUCCUCUUCGGUA
rnacentral:tRNA from 1 species